rnacentral:rRNA from 1 species
AUUGAACGCUGGCGGCAUGCUUUACACAUGCAAGUCGAACGGUAACAGGCCGCAAGGUGCUGACGAGUGGCGAACGGGUGAGUAACGCAUCGGAACGUGCCCAGUCGUGGGGGAUAACGCAGCGAAAGCGGUGAUAAUACCGCACACGAUCUAUGGAUGAAAGCGGGGGACCGGAAGUCCUCGCGCGUUUGGAGCGGCCGAUGUCAGAUUAGGUAGUUGGUGGGGUAAAGGCUCACCAAGCCGACGAUCUGUAGCUGGUCUGGGAGGACGAGCAGCCACACUGGGACUGAGACACGGCCCAGACUCCUACGGGAGGCAGCAGUGGGGAAUUUUGGACAAUGGGCGCAAGCCUGAUCCAGCAAUGCCGCGUGCAGGAAGAAGGCCUUCGGGUUGUAAACUGCUUUUGUACGGAACGAAAAGGCUCUGGUUAAUACCUGGGGCUCAUGACGGUACCGUAAGAAUAAGCACCGGCUAACUACGUGCCAGCCGCCGCCGUAA